GACGAACGCUGGCGGCGUGCCUAAUACAUGCAAGUAGAACGCUGAAGAGAGGAGCUUGCUCUUCUUGGAUGAGUUGCGAACGGGUGAGUAACGCGUAGGUAACCUGCCUUGUAGCGGGGGAUAACUAUUGGAAACGAUAGCUAAUACCGCAUAACAAUGGAUGACACAUGUCAUUUAUUUGAAAGGGGCAAUUGCUCCACUACAAGAUGUACCUGCGUUGUAUUAGCUAGUAGGUGAGGUAAUGGCUCACCUAGACGACGAUACAUAGCCGACCUGAGAGGGUGAUAGGCAACACUGGGACUGGGACACGGCCCAGACUCCUACGGGAGGGAGCAGUAGGGAAUCUUCGGCAAUGGGGGCAACCCUGACCGAGCAACGCCGCGUGAGUGAAGAAGGUAUCCGGAUCGUAAAGCUCUGUUGUAAGUCAAGAACGGAUGUGAGAGUGGAAAGGUCACACUGUGACGGUAGCUUACCAGAAAGGGACGGCUAACUACGUG
rnacentral:rRNA from 1 species